GGGGAGGUGCCAGAGUGGUUGAAUGGGGCCGCCUGCUAAGUGGUUGUCGGGUGUAAAGCCCGACCGAGGGUUCGAAUCCCUCCCUCCCCGCCA
rnacentral:tRNA from 1 species